rnacentral:lncRNA from 1 species
UAUUACAUAUAUAGAGCAUAAUUUUUCAUAUCUAUGGUUGUAUACAUAGCAUAUUCAUACCAAUUUAUGUCUUCAUACAUGUAAUUUGGAUAAUAAUGAUCAUCACAUUCCACCAUCAUUAAUUACCCCAUGCCCCCUCCCUUCCCCUCCAAUCCCUCUGCCCUAUCUAGAGUUCGUCUAUUCCUCCCAUGUUCCCGCUCCCUAUCCCACUAUGAAUUAGCUUUCUUAUAUCAAAGAAAACAUUCAGCAUUUGGUUUUUUGGGAUUGGCUAACUUCACUUAGCAUUAUCUUCUUUAACUCCAACCAUUUACCUGCAAAUGCCAUGAUUUUAUUCUCUUUUAUUGCUGAGUAAUAUUCCAUUAUGUAUAUAUGCCACAUUUUUUUUAUCCAUUCAUCUAUUGAAGGGCAUCUAGGUUGGUUCCACAGCUAUUGUGAAUUGUGCUGCUAUAAACAUUGAUGUGGUUGUGUCUCUGUAGUAUGCUGUUUUUAAAUCCUUUGGGUAUAGACCGAGGAGAGGGACAGCUGGGUCAAAUGGUGGUUCCAUUCCUAAUUUUCCAAGAAAUCUCCAUACUUAUUUUCAUAUUGACUGCACCAAUUUGCAGUCCCACCAGCAAUGUAUGAGUGUACCCUUUUCGCCACAUCCUCACCAACACUUAUUGUUGUUUGAUGCAUAAUAGCUGCCAUUCUGACUGGAGUGAGAGGAAAUCUUAGAGUGAUUUUAAUUUGCUUUCUCUAAUUGCUAGCAAUGAUGAACAUUUUUUCAUGUAUUUGUUAAUUGAUUGUACAUCAUCCUCUGAGAAGUGUCUGUUCAGGUCCUUGGCCCAUUUAUCGAUUGGGUUAUUUGUUUUUUUGGUGUUUAGCUUUUUGAGUUCUUUAUAUACCCUAGUGAUUAGUGCUCUAUCUGAUGCGUGAGACAUAAAGGAUUGCUCCCAAGAUAUAGGCUCUUUAUUCAUCUCACAGAUUGUUUCUUUUGUUGAGAAGAAGCUUUUUAGUUUGAUUCCAUCCCAUUUAUUAAUUCUUGAUUUUAAUUCUUGUGCCACAGAAGUCUUGUUAAGGAAAUUGGGGCCUAAUCCCACAUGAUGGAGAUUAUGGCCUACUUUUUCUUCUCUUAGACGCAGGGUCUCUGGUUGAUUCCUAAGUCCUUGAUCCAUUUUGAGUUUUGUGCAUGGUGAGAGAUAGGGGUUUAAUUUCAUUUUGUUGCAUAUGGAUUUCCAGUUUUCCCAGCACCAUUUUGUUGAAGAGGCUAUCUUUUCUCCAAUGCAUGUUCUUGGCACCUUUGUCUAAUAUAAGAUAAUUGUAUUUUUUGUGGGUUAUUCUCUGUGUCCUAUAUUAUGUACCAUUGGUUUAUCAAGUCUGUUUUGGUGCCAAUACCAUGCUGUUUUUGUUACUAUUCCUCUGUAGUAUAGUUUAAAGUCUGGUAUAGUGAUGCCACCUGAUUCACUCUUCCUGCUAAGGAUUGCUUUAGCUAUUCUGAGUCUCUUAUUUUUUCCAGAUGAAUUUCAUGAUUGCUUUUCUUAUUUAUAUGAGGAAUGCCAUUGGGAUUUUGAUAGGAAUUGCAUUAAAUCUGUAUAGUGCUUUUGGAAGUAUGGUCAUUUUGAUAAUAUUAAUUUGUCCUAUAAAAGAGCAAGGUAAAUCUUUCCAUCUUCUAAGGUCUUCUUUGAUUUCUUUAGGGUUCUGUAAUUUUCUUUAUAUAGAUCUUUUACCUCUUUCAUUAAGUUGAUACCCAAGUAUUUUAAUUUUUUUGAGGCUAUUGAGAAUGGGGUAGUUUUCCUCAUUUCCCUUUCUGAGGAUUUGUCACUGGUAUACAGAAAUGCCUUUGAUUUAUGGGUGUUGAUUUAUAUAUCUUGCUACUUUGCUGAAUUCAUUUACUAGUUCUAGGAGUUUUCUGAUGGAACUUUUAGGGUCUUCCAAGUAUAGAAUCAUAGCUGAUGGGUGAAAUAUUCUAUAUAUGUCUGUUAGAACAGACACUUCACAGAAGAAGAAAUACAAUUGAUCAACAAAUAUAUGAAAAAGUGUUCAACAUCUCUAGUAAUUAGAGAGAUGCAAAUCAAAUCUACUCUAAGAUUUCAUCUCAUUCCAGUCAGAAUGGCAAUCAUCAAGAAUACAGGCAACAAUAAAUGUUGGCAAGGAUGUGGGGGAAAAGGUACACUCAUACAUUGCUGAUGGGAAUGCAAAUUGGUGCAACUGCUAUGGAAAGUAGUAUGGAGAUUCCUCAGAAAACUUGGAGUGGAACCACCAUUUGACCCAGCUGUCCCACUCCUUGAUAUAUACCCAGAAGACUUAAAGUCAGCAUACUAUAGUGAUGCGGCCACAUCAAUGUUUACAGCAGCUCAAUUCACAAUAGCUAAGCUAUGGAACCAACCUAGGUUUCCCUCAAUAGAUGAAUGGUAUGUACGUAUAGGUACACAAUAACAAGAAAAAAAAAUGACAUCCCAAUAGAACUAAAUACAACAACAAGCAGUUCAUGGAAAGAAAAAAAAGGAAUUGAUUUAUAAUCACACAAAUAUGAUUGCUCUCAAAGCAAAAACUGCAAUAGGCUAUCAUUUUUGGAUGAAAAAGUGUGAUAAGAUCACUGCCCAUGGGACUCAGGGAAAUUGAUGUUCUUAUUACUAAAUUCGUGUACUCUUUGGGGGAAUAUUUGGUAAUGUCUUUCAAAAUUCAUGCUACCAUCUGAUAUAGCAAUUAAGCUCUUAGAAAUUUAUCCUACAGAUAUACUUACUUCUGGCACAUACGAAUAGUCUUUGCAGUAUUGUUCAUAAUGUCAAAGGACCAAAAAUAACAGUAAUGUCCACUAAUAGCAGACUAGCUAAAUUGAUAAGGGCAAGUUACUCAUACAAGCAACCCUAAAAGGAUGAUGUAAAUAUUUAUGGGUUGAUUUGAAAUCAGCAAGGCAUGCUAUAUAGUGGGAAAAAUGAGACAUUGAGAAGCAUUCCCUACUUAUAAAAAAAAAGUAGGGAGGGAGGUAACAUAUAUUUGUAAUAAAGUUUAUAUUUCUAGAAAUAUAUGUAAGCAACUGCUAUAAUAGUUUCUUCUUGGAAAAGACAUUAGAGUGAGAGAAUCUUAAAAUUCAUAGGAUACUGCCUUAUAACAUUUGAUAAAGUGAUUUAUUUGUUUUAAUUUUAAAUAAGUGAUUUAAUGCACAAGAGUAAUCUUACCGUAUAAAUAAAAUUUCCAAGAAAUAAAUAGUCUGUGGUGUAACCAUGUCGCAAAAUCAUAUCUGAAAAGUGAAAAAAAUCAUGUUUUAAUCUUUAUAGAGUCUGUAAUAUAGAUUUUGAAUUUAUUUUUACCAAAGAAACCCAUAGUGGACCCCCCAAAAUAUUCAUUGAUUAUUGGUCAUAUUUCUAAAUUGCUUUAAAUGACAAAAAUUUUGCAUCUAUUAUCUGUGAUAAUUGUGACUUUUUCUUACUUUUUAGUCUCUCCAAGGAUAUAUCAAGCAACAGAUGGAAAAACAAAGCAUAAGGAGUAUGUGACUGUUGUUGUAAACCUAGCUUUAUUUGCAUUAAACCAUCUGACAGAACCCAUAAAUUAAAAGUAAAAAUAUCCCAUAAAUGAUGCUAGGUUAUGAGAAAUUGUAAUAAUUUUGUCAUCAUAUUUUUAAUACUAUUUCCUUUUCUAAGGUUACUAAAAUAACAAACAAUAGACAAUUUGAAAUAAUGAUAGAAUUUCCCAAUUCUUUACAAUUAUUGCUAUAUCUGCUCUAAAACUUUAUGAAAGCCCCAGACUAUCUCAAGAUUAGGAUACUCUCUUCAGAUCUUCUUGACAUGUUUUAAAAUUCUCUAAUACAUAUUUGUGGUCUUUGGUUCAUUACAUUUGAUAUGUAAAUUUUCAAGUGCCAACUCCUGACCUUUACACCAAUUCAGAUAGUAUACUUAUGUACUUAGGCUCAUUUAUUGUUGUUGUUUUAUGUUUGUUUGUUUGUUUCUGAGUUAUAAUCCACUAAAAUUUUCAAGGCUUAUUCUUUUCCCUAAAACUACAGGCAAUGAAACAUUUAGGGAAUCCAAAUGAAGAAAAGUGGAUAAGUAUGUGGACCAAAUUACAACCACCAGGAGAAUGACAAUCAUGAUUCUAGAAUGUGCACUGACCUACACUUUGUGAGCUGGAGUGGGAUGAUAGUAGAGAUGAGAACAAUAUAACUGAAUAGAAAAGAGAAGAUAGCUACUUCACAGGAACAUAAUAUUGGAUUAUAUUGUUUAGAUAUGCACUCAUAAAGGGAAUAGAAAAAUUAGAAGCUACAUUGGGAGGAAGAAAAACUUCCAGUAUUCCAACAUUCUGGUGUGAAGCAGAAAUUACUUUCCUUCUGAAUAUUACACAAAAUUAAUAAUGAAAACUGCCACAAAGUCAAUGUCAGGGAAACAAGGAGACAAAAAAAAUCCGUAGACUCAGAAAACUAACAAAGGCUUCCAAGGAACUGAGGCCAGCACAGAAGCUGAGCUUGCUACAUGUAGUAAGAACUCUCUGAUGUGAAUACCAACUCGGUCUAGAGCAUCAGAUCUCAAAAAACAUCUGCAAAAAUACACUUUUCUUCUCUCUGGGACAGAAACUUUAAUCCCAUGAAGAAUUAAAAAAAAAAAAAGAAACAGACACAGUACCCAUAAAAUGACUAUUUUAUGAGUUUUGGUCAUUCUUUAUUAUGCUAUAUAUUUGUCCCUGAUUAUGAAAUAUGUUUUUAAAUGAAUUGAAUCAAAUGAGUGGAAAAGGACAGCAAAAUUUAUCACAGAUGAAGAAUGUUCACUAGGGAUUUUUACAUAAGACCCAGUUUACCCAGCCAAAAACCUAAUGAAUAAUCAGAACAAAAAGACUUGUGUGCAUUUGAAAGAUUUAAUAUAUCAAAAUAUAUUUAUAUACAUCUAAUACGUUGAAGAAAUAAGACUAUAAAAGCAAAAACAAAUGUGGUGUUAAAAUGAUUAGCUGUAAUUAUCACAUGCCCAUAUGAUAAGGAAAUGAUACCUGAAUACAUGAAGGUACUGGUGAAAUAAAUGGAAAACAUCAAGUUUGCAGAUGGUCUCAUCAAGUCAACAAAAGACAUUCAAAGCAAACAGAAAGUAUUUAACUGGAAGCAUACUUAAGAGCAUGAAGGUAUGUCAUAUGCAAGAUAAUGGGGUGCUGGAGGAACAGAAAGAGAGAAGGAAGAAAAAAUGCAAUAAUUUUAUCAUUAUUCAUAGGAGGAAAUGAUUUCUCUAAAGAAAUAGUCAAUAAAAAAUUGACUAUAAGAACAAAAAUUCAAACCUUUCUCAGUAUCAGAAAUCUAUACAAAUAAGCAAGGAAACCCAAAGAAAUGAUUAAAGAUUAGAAAAAUAAAUUUAGGAAGGAAAUGCAAAAUCAUAAGAACAUCUCAGAAAAAUCUAUUUUUUAAAAAAUGAAUUUCAGAUUGAAUCUCAAAUUAGAUUUUAUGCUGCAAGAACUACACCUUAAAACAAGCAACUCAUAUAGUUGAAAAAUGAAGGAUGAUCAAGGAUGAGACAUAAUAGUAACUGUAACCUAGAAGAAAUUGACACUAAAAAGACUUACACAAGACAAGGAAGGGUACCUUGUAAAGCCAAACAUAAAAAUUUCAAUGAAUAUGAAAUAGACUAUUGGCAUGACAAAUAAUAUUUUAAAACAUAAAUUGAGAGCAAAAAGGAGAAACAAAUAUGAUAGUAGUAGAUUUUCACUCACCUUUCUCAGUUCAUAAUAGAUAAAGUGACAACAAAUAAAUGAAUAGGCAAAAUAUUUCUGGCUAUAAUCUAUUAGAAAAUUGGAUUAAAUAUAAAAUGACUACCUUCAGACAUUAGGUAAGAGACCAAACAGAAAACUUUAAUUCCUGAAGAAAGGGUAAAACAUUAGAUGAGCCUUGUCCCUACUCACACCUCGAGGCAGUUUCUAAACUACUGUGCAGGGAAAGAGAUUCAACAUUGUUUGCUGAAUUAAUGAGACACUGACAGGACGAAGUUGUUCAAAUUUGCAGAAUGGAACAUGGGAAUUAUGGAAAGAAUUAUCUUAAGAAAUUCCUAUGGGGUCCUCAUAAGCCCUUGAUUGAAUGCUAAUCUGCAAUGUGUGCCAAGAAGUCCCACAAGGCAGUAAAGAACAACUUCCAUGGAAAAACAAAUUACUACAUAAGGGCAAGUUUUAAAAAAUUCCAGAUUUAAUAUAGGAAUUGCUCAAAUUCCUAUAGGCUAAAGUGAAAAGAACUUUUUUGAUAAGCAUUCAGCAGAGACCCCAGAGGGAGUAUAUAACUUUAGUAGAGAAAUUAAAUUCAUUUUAAAGGAUUAUUUGACUGAACUUCAAAAAUAUGAAAAUAAGUAUCAAAAGAGUAAAAUUGAAUCACAAUAACUAAGUUAUUGUGCUAAAACAAAGUCCAAGUAUUUAAAAAUAAAAAUGAACUAUUCAGCAACAUAUCAUUUAUAAUGUUCAACAUCCAUUAUAAAAUUACAAUGUGAAUAAAUGGGGGAAAAUGAUGAAUAACCAGAAGAAAAUUGGUACUAGAAACAAUUCAGAAAUAACAGAGAUAUUGGAAAUAGCAGAGAAGUCUGUAGCUAUUAUAAAUAUUUUAAAUAUGCUCAAGGAUUUGUAGGAAAAUAUGAACAUGAUAAGGAAAGAAAUUAAAGACACGAACAAAAUAAAAUUUCUAGAGAUGAAAAUAUUAACACUGAUAAAUCAGUAACACACAACUAAAUAAAAUAUUAGUACACUUAAAAGCAUAGAAAAACAAACUAAAAAUGAACUUAAAAGAGAGAACAAAAAUAUUAUAAAUGGACACAGAUGGGGAAAACAUUAAGGGUCUGACAUAUGUGUAGUUAGAGUCAUGGAAGAAGAAGAAACAGAGACAAAAGAAAUGGUAAGGAAAAUUUUUACACUUUGUUGAACACUAUAAAACAAUAGAUGCAAAAACUUUGAGCAGGAAAAUAGAUAAACAUAACUUAAACUUUAUCAUGUCAUAUCAAAACCAAUUGCUGUGAAUCAGUGAUAAAGAAAAUAAGUCUUAGGAUCACAAAGACAACACACUACAUAAAGAAGAAUUAUCAUAGGCUUUUCAACAAAAUAAUGCAAACCACAAGUCAAUGGUCUUUAAAGAAGUUGAAGAAAAGGAACUAUCAACAUAAAAUUGCUUUUUCAAAAGGAAAAUAAAAUAGAGACUUUUUGGAUAAAUAAAAUCUUAAAGAACAUUCAUUUGUUUUAAAUUUCAAAAGAAUAAAUUUGCUUUAAAGCAAAGUUAUUGUGCUAAAACUUUCUAGAAGAAAGCUAGAAAAUGAAAUAUUUAAUUUUCCAACUUUAAAAACUAAUUUUUUCAGAAGCAAAGAAGUAGAUAUUUCCCAACUUAAGAAACAAGUAUUAUGCUAAUUUGAAAUCCAGAUAAAUUUUGAGUUUCUUUAUAUAUUCCAGAGAUUAAUGUUCUAUGUGAGGUGCUGGUGGCAAAGCUUUUCUCCCAUUAUGUAGGAUCUCUCUUCACAUUCCUGAUUGUUUCCUUUGCUAUGAAGAAGCUUUUUAGUUUGAUACCAUCCUAUUUAUUGAUUGUUGAUUUUACUUCUUGUGCUUUAGGAGACUUGUUGAGACUACCAGGCUAAGUGAAAUGAGCCAAUUCCAAAAAACCAAAAGCUGAAUGUUCUUUUUGAUAUGCAGAUGCCAAUACAUAAUGCAGGGAGGGAAUAGAAGUUCUGUAGAUUAGACAAAGAGGAAUGAAGGGAAGGGAGGGGAAUGGGAAUAGAAAGGACAGUAGAAUGAACUGGACAUAAUUUUCCUAUGUUCACAUAUGAAUACAUGACCAAUGUAACUCCACAUCAUGUACAACGAUGAGAACAGGAUCCUACUAGAAUAAGUUAUACUUCAUGUAUCUACAGUAUGUCAAAAAAACACUCUACUGUCAUGUAUGUCUAAAAAGAACAAAUUUUAAAAAUGUAAAAAACAAACAAAAAUACAGAUAAAGAAUAUUAUAAGAAAGACCAAUCAAUACCCAUCAUGAACAUAGAGGCAAAAAUCCUUAGCAAAUCAAAUUUAGCAUAUAUAAAAAAGAUAAUACAUGAUAAACAAGGGAUUAUUCAAGGAUAUGAUGCUAGUUUAUAUUUUAAAAUUAAUGAAUCCAAUUCAUCAUAGUAGCAGAACAAAAAAGAAAAAUGUUAUCACCUUAAUAGAUGGAUAAGAAAAAACAUAAACCAAAUCCAAUUUAUGGCUCAGUAGUAAAGCACUUGCCUGGCACGUGUAAGGCACUGGGUUCAAUACUCAGCACCACAUAAAAAUAAAAAAUAAAAUAAAGAUAUUGUGUCCAUCUACAAAUAUAAACAAACAAAUAAAUAAAUAUCUUCAACCAACUAGAACUGAAGAGAACUUUCUUAUUGUAAUAAUGGGCAUCUAUGAAAAAAAUCUAAUAUCUUAAAUAAUAGUAGAAAGAUGCAUUCUUUCCUCAUAAGAUUAGGAAGAAUGUGAACAUGUCCAAAUUUACUGCUUCUGUUUAACAUUGUCCUGGAGAUCCCAGCCUGUGCCUUAAUGAAAGAGAAAUAAAUAAAAGGCAUAUGUAAUGAAAAGGGAAGAAUUUGUCAUAGAUAAAUUUACACCUGGUCCCUGAGAUUAUGUAUGACACAUUCAGGCAAAAUGGAUGAAGAAGGGACAUGGAAACCUUGGUUGUCACUUCAUAUAGCUGCACAAUGAUGAGUGAUAUUUUGUACUUAUGUAGUUUGCUUGUCCAAUAUGUAAAAAAUACUUUAAACUAAAUUUAAACAUGUAUGAAAUCUUUCAGUGCCUAAACAUUGUACCAGAUAAUUUGGGCAGCUACAUAAUUCAUUCUCAUAAAUAUCAAAGCAAAUUUGCACACAGUUAAUUUCAGUUGGUACCCACCUCAUACACACCACCCAGUAAGCACAAAUAACAUUAUUUAUUCUUUAUAGAGAAUCUGAGGAUGUUGUCUAUGUGUGCAUAUGUGUUGUGGGAUAUUUUAAAUGUUAGAAGACUAAAAAUUUUAAUGAAUCUUAGGAGGAAAAACCAAAAAUGAAUAUUCUAAGAAUUAGUUUAUCAUAUGCAUUACAUUUAACAACAUAAAUUCUGUAAACUACUGCAUUGAUAAAAUCAUGGUAUUUAUAAUUCCAGAUUUGGGUUUAUUAUUACACUACAAUUCUUAUAUUUGAAGAUAACCUAUGAUUUUUUAAUAGAUUCUAUCUAUGUUUUUAACAACUAUACUGAACCUUCUUUUCUAGAUAUAUUACAAAGGUGAGACAGCAUUAUUUUUUGCUCUUACUGCUUCUACUUUUGGAUUCAUAAAAAAAAAAAGAAAGAAAGAAAAAGGAAAAAGUCACCCCCCAAGAUGAAUGCCAGGAAAUUUUUCCAUUUUCCCUUGUUUUCUUUUAGUAGCUUCACAGUUUGGGGGUCUUAUAUGUAAGUCUUUGAUACAUUUUGAGUUAAUUUUGUAAAUGAAUGUGUAGAUUUGAAUUUUCACCUGGGUUUACUUGUUUAAAAUUCCUUCAGUAUUUCUUGAAAAGUAAACAUUUUAGAAACAAAGGAUAUCAUGUUUUGUUAAUCUUGGAAUUUUUUAUUUCAACUUCACUUUUGAAAGAUUGUUUUACUGGGCUUAAGAUUCUUCAUUAAUAGUUUUUGUUUUCUUUCUCAGCACUUUAGUUUUUCACUACCUUCUGGCUUCCAUUUUUCUGGUAAGAACUUUGCUAUUGAUCUUCCUGACUCAAAUAUUUACUAGAAAUUAACAAUAAAUGGUCUUUCAUGUCAUCAUCUUUUUUUUUUCAAAAUUGUAUCAUUGUGUUUGGCUCUCAACAUUUUUACUACAAUGUGUGUAUGUGAAUGUUUUUACAUAUAAUUGCAGUUCAUUGAUUUUCUGAUGUCUAGUUAAUGUUUUCAACUAAUUUGGUGACUUUUCAGCUAUAAUUUUCUUGAAGAUUUAUUUUGCUCCAUUAUUUUUCUCCUCUUGUUCUGGUCCUCCUAUUAUAUACAUUUUUUUAAGAUUUACCACAUUUUUUUGAGCCUCUGUGCAACUUUUUUUAUUCUAUUUUUUUCUCUGUUCUUCAGAGUACAUAUUCUAUAUUUAUAUAACCUCAAGUUCACUAAUUCUUUUUCCAGCUCAAAUAUACUAUUGAGUUCUGCUAAAAAAAGGGGGGGGGGCUCCAUUUUGGUAUUGUACUUUUCCUUUAGUUCUUUAUUAUAAUUUUGAUUUUCGUUCCAAUAAUCUCUAUUUAAUGAGCCAUUGUCUUCAUAUCUUUCAUCAUGGUUUCUUAAACAUAUUUAUAACGAUUGCUUUGAACUCUUUGUUUAAUCUGAAAUCUGGGUCUUCUUAUAGAGUAGCCUCUCUUUCUUACCUGUUUUCCUGUAUAUGAGUCACAUUUUCCUCAUUAUUUGAAUGUUGUUGUUGAAAUGGGAUGUUUUAUAUAACAUAUUACAGCAAAGUUGGAUACUGAUUCCCUUCCUUCCUUUUUUGGGGGGAGUGGGGGUGGGACAAGGGAUUGAUCCCAGGGGUGCUUGACCACUGAUCCUCUUCCCCAGCCCUUUUUAUUUUUUAAGACAGGGUCUCACUGAGUUACUUAGGGCCUAAUUUGCUGAGGCUGGCUUUGAACUUGUGAUCCUCCUACCUCAGUCUUGUGAGCCGCUAGGAAUACAGGCAUUCGACACCUCGCCCGGCCCUUCUCUCCUUUUUAAGGUUUGUGCUUGUUGUUGAUGCUUAUUUCUUGUGAGACUUGGCUAGGCCACUUUAGUGAAGUUUAUUUCUCCCCACAGUGUAAAACCUUGGUGUUCUCCUCAGAAGGCACAGCCUUGGGUAAAAUUACAGACACUUAGGAUAGCAGUGGUUUAAGCUUGAGCUUUCCUUGAGUUUAACCCUGGGCUGUCUUUUCCCCUAACUUCUCUGUCAAGUUAUCUCAUUCAUUUGAUGCUAAACCAGGUAUUUGGCUCCACAAAUUGCUGGAAAUUUUCUCUAUUAUUUUCAACUAGGUCCUGAGACAAAAAUUUCUCAGUAUCCUGCUCCAGUUAAAUUCAGGCAGGAAGAGUUUGUUCUCCCCUUACAAGGGAUCUUGUGAACUCCUUCCCUGGUUCUCUGAUAAAUUCACUAGCCUGUAAUUUAUCUUGGUGCUGUUCCUUAAGAGGAGCUAUUAUUUUUGAGAGCAUACAUGUACUUGAAAUUCUAUAUUCUGUUUCAAAUAAAGUCACUUGUUGUGGAGAGGAGGGCUGAAGAGGACAAGAAAUUCUGGUGGUCCGCGUCUCCUGGUGAGAUAUGGUAACCUUGAUUGAGAGGCAAAGUGAAAACCCCAUGUCCUUGACCAUGUGUUUGACAUGGAGCUUCCAUCGAGCUAAGCUCUGAGGUGGGGAGGAACUAGGUCAUGAUUCAAAUGAUAAAAACUCUUGUUCUCACCAAGUUAAAAUAAACUUUCUUGAAUAGACAUGUCUUCAUUGGUUUUUAGGACAAUUUACAGAGAAUCUAUAGGCUUUUCUUCUUCGCAGCCAGCUUUGCUUGUGGGGGUCUUCACAUAAUCAUCCUGUGGAUGACGUCAGUGGAACUGAGUCUUCAUAAACUUCACGAAAUUUUGACUUUAUUGUUGUUAUUGCCUGGUUUUGCUUAAUUUUACAAUGAGCAAUAUAAUGCAGAUUCAGACAGCUUUUAAAUUUAAAUAUAUCCAAGCCAAAGAACAUGUUGCUAGAAAUAUCCAAUAAAAAGUAAGUCUGGUUAUGUAAAGUAAUAACAUUUCAAACCUUAAUUUAAGGUAUGUGAUCUCACUGAACACCAAAAACAUACUUCAUAAAUAUAUCUCCUAGUUUUGGGAUGUCUUAGACCUAAGCAAGUUCGGAGAAAAAUUUCACAGAUAAAGUUACUUGGAAUAUCAUAUGGUAGGAAAAAGAGACUUGAUCAAAUAAUAAGGUAUAAGUUUAAGUUUCAAUACAAUCUUACCAGACUUGUAUUACUAAGUUGAAGCAUAAAGUUUUGUGAAUGAUAGUAUACAUAAAUUCAAACUUACAAGAGCCAUCUUUGAUUCAUUAGAAAUGUCUUGUUUUCCAUCAGACUUCCUGACUCAAAUAUUUACUAGAAAUUAACAAUAAAUGGUCUGGAACUCAAUUUAUACAUGUCAAAACAAAGAGAAUGGGUUCUAAAGGUCAGUUGUUAAAUGUUCAAACUGUAAUCUAUUAGCCAAAGGAAUGUCUAAUACUAGAUUUAGGUGAGUUUUUUUUUUUUUUCUGAAUUCUAUUUUUGUGUCCUCCAGUUCUUUCUAUGGAUAUACACAUCACAUGAAAACAUUAAUUUCAGCAAGAGUUACAGACUCUGCUGAAUAUUUGAAAUAAUGAAGCUAUUACCAUGCUCCAGCAUUUUUGUGGGAAACCAGAAGAGAAUGAAGGAGUGGAUCAAAGCAUUUAUACAUUGAAUCCAAAACACCUAAAAGAAAACAAAGCAAGAAAGUCAAGAUGGUAACCCUCAUCGUUAUACAAAAUUACAUAUAAGAGGAGGUGAAGGGAAAGGGGGAAAAAAAAACAAGGGAGAGAAAUGAAGUACAGAAGAUGGGGUAGAGAGAGAAGAUGGGAGGAGAGGGGAGGGGAGGGGAGGGGGGAUAGUAGAGGAUAGGAAGGACAGCAGAAUACAACAGACACUAGUAUGGCAGUAUGUAAAAACGUGGAUGUGUAACUGAUGUGAUUCUGCAAUCUGUAUACGGGGGGAAAAAUGUGAGUUCAUAACCCACUUGAAUCAAAUGUAUGAAAUAUGAUAUGUCAAGAGCUAUGUAAUGUUUUGAACAACUAAUAAAAAAAAGAUGGUAGUUUGGUCUAAAUCUAAAAAUAUAUGACAUUGUGAAGUAUAUUUGCUCUGUAUAAUACAGUCAUAAAGCUGAAAAAUUUUUCUGUAAAUUGAAAAAUGUAUUAUUUAUUUAUUUAUUUUUAAAAGAAAUAAUUUCAAAAUUAU